rnacentral:lncRNA from 1 species
UGAACUGAGGCUUCAAAAAUAUUUUAAAUUAAUUCAAGUAUACAAUGGACCAACUCCAAGGCCCAAGUCUAGCCCAACUUAACUCUAAAUUGUAAAGACUUAAUCAAUCAACAAUAAGUCAAUAACCAGUAGUCACUUGAGAGUUAAGAACGUACAAAACAUUAGACAAUUAGGACUAGAGUUUACUUCAUUUUCUUUCUUUGAAAUUUCUGAGUUCUCAUAUGCACCUGUGGCUGCACAACUCUUGAAUGCAAAAUUGAGUUUGUCCGAAAUGGAUACAGAUAAGAAGAUAAAAAAAUAUUGGUUGUGUUUCCGGACCUAAUGGUAAGAACUAUGGAACAUCACAUACUUAAAUGAUCAAAUAUCAUGAUUUGGGUCAGAUGUAUAUGGAUCAACAAGGUAACAUAUCAACAACAACAACAACAACAAACCCAGUGUAUUCCCACCUAGUGGGGUCUGGGGGGUGGGGGUAAGAUGUACGCAGUUCAUACCUCUACCUCUGAUGAAGUAGAAAGGCUGUUUCCGAUAGACCCCCGGCUCAAGACACGAGAUACCACACAAACACAUAGUAAAACACAGAAGCAGAUUACAUAACAUAAAUACGGCACCCAUAAGUAAUAUAAAACAGAGGAAAGCAACGGAAAGCACACAGAUUCGUAAUAAAACAUGGAACACGGAAGACAGAAUCAUAACAGGAAUAAAACCCCCACCAAGUAAUUCCCUACNNN